rnacentral:lncRNA from 1 species
AUUCCAGGCUCUGUGAACUAAGUGACAGAAGCUGAUUGACACAGGUCAAGGGGACUUCAAGGAAGAAAGCCAGCCUUAGACUGACAUCAGAGAACCAAACUCUGGUGUCUAAGCUCAAGAGGUUAGAAUCCUGAGAACUGUUUGGAAUAAGGAAUCCAAAUAUUGUCUUCCAGCUUCACCUUGUCACGACAGUCCUCGCCAGGGACAGCUGAGCAUCUACAUCUCCAUUUAUGCCGUGUGCAUGCAGUACCAACAGAGGUCAGAGGAGGGUGUCGGAUCCCCUGGAACUGGAGUCACAGAUUCUUUCUUGCGUGGAUGAAACAGUCCCAACGAACACUUUAAAAAGACAAAUGUUCCCGACAGCACUGGUUGAGUUCAAAACUCGGCAGAUCCAUGUUCUUAUCCUUAGACAAGAGAGGGGCCAUAACAAGAUGGAAUGACUGAACAGACGUGAGAGAUGAUGGUACAGUGACUCGGGUAACCCCAGAAAAGGGACAGCUCUUCUACAGCUCAGUGGGGACAGGGACAAAAAGAAACAAUUUCAUUUCAGUCCACCCAGAGGGUCUGCACUUCUCGGAGCCAGAAGGUGGAGAGUAGGAAUGGAGGAAGUUCGGAGUUUUAGGAGUCCCCUCUUGGGGCUCCCUAGGUAUGAGGACAAGCUUUUCCGGUACUCAAUGCUCAUCUCUCAGUUGUGCCCACAUUGGUACACAUUACUUGCUUUCAACUGCUGCUGCUGCUGUUUCCAAAUUCAAUAAAGAUAUGGUUGGCUCAGCAGAGAGCUGUCAUCCAUCCCUGUGUGUGUUGAACCUUCAAGGCAGAACCCAGUUUCUGUGUCACAUCUUCAUCUCAGGCUCAACCAUUUGGGCUGGAGGUGCAGGGCAGACCAAAGAUG